rnacentral:rRNA from 1 species
CCUACGGGAGGCAGCAGUGGGGAAUAUUGCACAAUGGGGGAAACCCUGAUGCAGCGACGCCGCGUGAGUGAAGAAGUAUUUCGGUAUGUAAAGCUCUGUCAGCAGGGAAGAAAAUGACGGUACGUGACCAAGAAGCCCCGGCUAAAUACGUGCCAGCAGCCGCGGUACUACGUAGGGGGCAAGCGUUAUCCGGAUUUACUGGGUGGAAAGGGAGCGUAGACGGCAGGGCAAGUCUGGAGGGAAAGGCGGGGGCUCAACCCCCGGACUGCUCUGGAAACUGCCAGGCUGGAGUGCAGGAGAGGUGAGUGGAAUUCCUAGUGUAGCGGUGAAAUGCGUAGAUAUUAGGAGGAACACCAGUGGCGAAGGCGGCUUACUGGACUGUAACUGACGUUGAGGCUCGAAAGCGUGGGGAGCAAACAGGAUUAGAUACCCGAGUAGUC